GAUGAACGCUGGCGGCGUGCCUAAUACAUGCAAGUCGAGCGAACGGACGAGAAGCUUGCUUCUCUGAUGUUAGCGGCGGACGGGUGAGUAACACGUGGAUAACCUACCUAUAAGACUGGGAUAACUUCGGGAAACCGGAGCUAAUACCGGAUAAUAUUUUGAACCGCAUGGUUCAAAAGUGAAAGACGGUCUUGCUGUCACUUAUAGAUGGAUCCGCGCUGCAUUAGCUAGUUGGUAAGGUAACGGCUUACCAAGGCAACGAUGCAUAGCCGACCUGAGAGGGUGAUAGGCCACACGGGAACUGAGACACGCUCCAGACUCCUACGGGAGGCAGCAGUAGGGAAUCUUCCGCAAUGGGCGAAAGCCUGACGGAGCAACGCCGCGUGAGUGAUGAAGGUCUUCGGAUCGUAAAACUCUGUUAUUAGGGAAGAACAUAUGUGUAAGUAACUGUGCACAUCUUGACGGUACCUAAUCAGAAAGCCACGGCUAACUACGUG
rnacentral:rRNA from 1 species